UGGCAUUUCGAUAGGACAAAGGAGCAUAAUUGUGAUUUAUUGGUGAAGGAUCAGGACCCAGCCAACCCGUUGCACUGACAGAACGAGCAAGUAAUGGGGAUGCUUGAACCAUUGAAACUACAGGAGCAGCUGGACGGGGGCCAGGAAUUAGAGGAGCACUGCAAGGCCUUGACAUCACAGGCACUUGCUGUAGCAUUGGCUUCUCAGAUGGUUUUGAAGUCGAGGUAUUCUGGGUCUCAGGUUUUGACAUGCCUAUAUUUUGAAGGGAUAUCAUUGGAGGGACUGCUUUAUCCAUCUGCUGUGCACAAUUUGAAGAUGCUUUCUUACUUUGAACAGAAGGGUCUAUGGCAGUUGAACUCCUGUUUUCCGACUUCAAUAGAACAGUGGAUUGGAGAUUUUUGGGAGGACUUCGAGGAGGGCUUCUGGAAGAUGGGAUAGUUGCCAUUUCUUUGAAAGAUCUUUCAACAUCAACCAAGUCUUUAGUGCUCAAUUUCUUUUGGGGUAUAACUUCUUCCACAACCUUCUUAACUACAUGCUGCUCAGUCCACAUGAUUCUGUCUUGUGAGCCAUGAACGAUAGCUUCAGGCUCACAUUCAACAGCCUUGCUACUUCCAGUAACCUCAUUGAGAUCCCCAGCAUCCACUGGAGGUGCAGAAAGGUGAUUAUCCAUCUCAGUUGUCCAACUCCCAUCACUUGUCCCCUUACCUUGCAGGUGCUUCCCUCUGCUAGGUGAUUUGACACAUUGGUAGCUCGAAUAAGAGUUCCCCGUGUAGGAGCCAUUAUUUACAACUGAUGGGACUGAAUCUGUAGAGCAAGUUGACGAGCUGUCAUCCAUAGCAGAUGUGCUCCUUUUCUCAACUGUUCCAUUUGGAAUAGAUGAUAAUCCACUAACUCCGCUGCUGCUGGCUUCUGUGGGAGGAUGAACUUCUGAGGUAUCAGUAUCCCAAUUGACAGGACUUGCAUCUCUGUCUUCCGAAUCAAGCUGGAGCACUUCAGCAGCACCAUCCGCCGAAUCAGACACAUCAGACACAUCUUCCAGAAU
rnacentral:misc_RNA from 1 species